AAGGCUACAAAAGGGCUAGAGAUGCUCAGGUACUGUACAGAACUCCCGUUGCACGGCUGCUGCAGGGCUGUAGUUCCUUUUUAUGUGGUAUUUUCAGGCAGAAGUAAAGCUGACGAAUGUCAGCCGUCCCGGCGGGGGUUAAUGGCAGGCCGAGGCCAAAGUAUGUAGCUUAUACAAGUCUGUUAUCACAGCAAUUCUCGAUGAACCUUCCAACCCCUGCUCUUCUGUGAUUCUGUGGACUCUGGUCGUGUUGAUGGAGGAAAAGGAACUUGGAUCAGCCGGGGGGGCUGCGGAACGCUGCGUUUCAGCGCAGGGAGCGGGGACGAUGACAGCCGCUGUGCCUUCGGGGCUCUCCUGAACCUGAAGAAGGAGAGGGAGCAUCAUUUUUUGGUGAGGAGGAGCAGAGCGUAUCUGCCCUGGGCGUGUAGGGGGCACGGGGCUCCAUCGGUGCCUCGCCUCUCGCCGUUUCCUCCUGCAGUCAGUGCUGGGCACGAUCCGGUCUCUGAAGCUGCUCAAACUGGAGAUUAAGGUAACGCCGGUGAGCGACACGGCCGGACGGCGCGGUCCUUGCGCUGGGAAUUCGGGGCGUUUGCUGCUGCUCUGCAGCAGGAUCUCGGCGCUCGCAGGCACCGCUGCUGGCUCGGGAGGAGGAAAACCCAGCAAGGGAAAGCAAGCGGGCAACGGCAGCUCUGUGUGACGAAGCGAGAAGGAUGGCUAUGAAAACUCAAAGCGGCUCUGAAGACCUGCGGCCCAUCAGCAACAACUCUAGAGAGCUGCCGGGGCGGCGAGGCGCACGCGGUGCCGCAGCAGCGUAGGUCUGGCCGUGCUGGUACGGGCUUCAGGCUCUUGCUGCCGCAAACGUCGCAUCCCCGCGGCUGAGAGUAACUGAUGCUGAUGUAAGCCGGAUGGACUUGUGCCAUGAGUUACGUAAAACGGGACUCGUGAGAUUGUUUGGCAGAGAGCGAAGUCAUUGUCUGAGACGAUAAAUAUUACAGAUAGAAGAAAUGUCGGAUAGAACGGGCGUGAUCUUUGUCUGGAGUAAAUCCGCGUGGCUCACUUGAGCGUGACAGAUCUGGGCUUGCUGCAGACUGACCGAGGACGUGCCAUACAAUUCCUGCGCUGGGGUGACAUGGAUUGUACCUCCCUAUUUUUUUCUUAACAUUUAAGGGGUUACUUAGUCUGUACUGUCCCUUGUGUCCGCCUGGUUUCUUGACUUUAGGGAAGAUACCGUUCCAAAUGGGUGCCGGUAAUUUUUUGUCACUAGCUUCGAAGUUGUGGCGUGUCGCUUGCAUUGAAUUCUGCACGCGUUUUCAGCUCGGGGAGCUUAAAGGGAUAAGUAAAAAAUAUUGGGCAGUUUAAAGGAUGGAUGCGUGUGAUAAGGGAGGAGGUUGUGUAAAGGCACCAUUUUUCUACCGUUAAUUCAGUUUCCCCAGAGCGGCUGAGAUGAAAAACCCGAAUGACAGCAGCCUGGCCAUUCUGCUGGACUGAACUCGCGGUGAAGAAAGCUUGUUGAUACUUAUAUUUAGAGUUGGGGGGGCUGAUCUAGUGAUGAGUAAGUGAAUUAACAGUUAACUGGAACAGAUUCAGUGGGUAACAGAUCUCUAAAACGACUGCGGUAGGAGGAAAAUUCAGUUUGCUGUCGUCAGGUGCUUUCAAUAAACGCAGCCUCCUGUCGAUUUGCGGCGGUUCUGAGCAGUGCCGCCUUCUGUGCCCCCGCAGAGCAGAACCCAAACCUAGGCAGACCAGGGGACGGCACCUCUUGGUGGCUGGUAAGACAGCUUGCAGCAGCAUUUCCUCCUGUUAAGAUGCAGAUGAAUACACCUAUGCUGAUAUUAAAAAAGAUUUUUUAUUUUUUUUUUUUUGCUGCUAAAUAUCUUUGUUUCAAAAAUUAAAGCAGCGGCCCUGCCUUUACCUGUGCUGCUUCUUAACUGGCAGUAGCCGACGUUCCGAUGGGAGCCCGGAAUGGCGCGGUGUUGCUUGGAAGGCAGCUCCGG